rnacentral:rRNA from 1 species
GUGAUCCGGUGGUUCUGAAUGGAAGGGCCAUCGCUCAACGGAUAAAAGGUACUCCGGGGAUAACAGGCUGAUACCGCCCAAGAGUUCAUAUCGACGGCGGUGUUUGGCACCUCGAUGUCGGCUCAUCACAUCCUGGGGCUGAAGUAGGUCCCAAGGGUAUGGCUGUUCGCCAUUUAAAGUGGUACGCGAGCUGGGUUUAGAACGUCGUGAGACAGUUCGGUCCCUAUCUGCCGUGGGCGCUGGAGAACUGAGGGGGGCUGCUCCUAGUACGAGAGGACCGGAGUGGACGCAUCACUGGUGUUCGGGUUGUCAUGCCAAUGGCACUGCCCGGUAGCUAAAUGCGGAAGAGAUAAGUGCUGAAAGCAUCUAAGCACGAAACUUGCCCCGAGAUGAGUUCUCCCUGAGACUUUAAGUCUCCUGAAGGAACGUUGAAGACGACGACGUUGAUAGGCCGGGUGUGUAAGCGCAGCGAUGCGUUGAGCUAACCGGUACUAAUGAACCGUGAGG